rnacentral:rRNA from 1 species
GAGGAAAGAAACCAACAGGGAUUACCUCAGUAACGGCGAGUGAAGCGGUAACAGCUCAAAUUUGAAAUCUGGGUCUUUCAGGCUCCGAGUUGUAAUUUGUAGAAGAUGCUUCGGGUGCGGCUCCGGUCUAAGUUCCUUGGAACAGGACGUCAUAGAGGGUGAGAAUCCCGUAUGUGAUCGGUUGCUUGCGCCCAUGUGAAGCUCUUUCGACGAGUCGAGUUGUUUGGGAAUGCAGCUCCAAAUGGGUGGUAUAUUUCAUCUAAAGCUAAAUAUUGGCCAGAGACCGAUAGCGCACAAGUAGAGUGAUCGAAAGAUGAAAAGCACUUUGGAAAGAGAGUUAAACAGUACGUGAAAUUGUUGAAAGGGAAGCGCUUGCAACCAGACUUGCGUGUCGUCGAUCAUCCGGGGUUCUCCCCGGUGCACUCGGCUUCACUCAGGCCAGCAUCGGUUUCGGUGGUUGGAUAAAGGCCUUGGGAAUGUAGCUCCUCUCGGGGAGUGUUAUAGCCCUCGGUGCAAUGCAGCCUACCGGGACCGAGGACCGCGCUUCGGCUAGGAUGCUGGCGUAAUGGUUGUAAGCGACCCGUCUUGAAACACGGACCAAGGAGUCUAACAUCUAUGCGAGUGUUUGGGUGUCAAACCCAUACGCGUAAUGAAAGUGAACGGAGGUGAGAACCCUUAAGGGUGCAUCAUCGACCGAUCCUGAUGUCUUCGGAUGGAUUUGAGUAAGAGCAUAGCUGUUGGGACCCGAAAGAUGGUGAACUAUGCCUGAAUAGGGUGAAGCCAGAGGAAACUCUGGUGGAGGCUCGCAGCGGUUCUGACGUGCAAAUCGAUCGUCAAAUUUGGGUAUAGGGGCGAAAGACUAAUCGAAC